rnacentral:ncRNA from 2 species
UACGGAGGAUGCGAGCGUUAUCCGGAUUUAUUGGGUUUAAAGGGUGCGCAGGCGGAGGCGCAAGUCAGCGGUAAAAUCGCGGGGCUCAACCCCGCUCCGCCGUUGAAACUGUGUCCCUUGAGUGCGCGAAGGGCAGGCGGAAUGCGUGGUGUAGCGGUGAAAUGCAUAGAUAUCACGCAGAACUCCGAUCGCGAAGGCAGCCUGCCGGCGCGCAACUGACGCUCAUGCACGAAAGCGUGGGUAUCGAACAGG